rnacentral:rRNA from 1 species
AUUGAACGCUGGCGGCAGGCUUAACACAUGCAAGUCGAGCGGGGUGAGGUGCUUCGGUACUGAUCCUAGCGGCGGACGGGUGAGUAAUGCUUAGGAAUCUGCCAUUUAGUGGGGGACAACAUUCCGAAAGGAAUGCUAAUACCGCAUACGUCCGACGGGAGAAAGCAUGGGAUCUUAGGACCUUGCGCUAAAUGAUGAGCCUAAGUCGGAUUAGCUAGUUGGUGGGGUAAAGGCCUACCAAGGCGACGAUCUGUAGCGCGUCAGAGAGGACGCUUCGCAGCACUGGGCCUGAGAGCCGGCACAGACUCCUCCGGGAGGCAGCAGAGGCGAAUAUUGGACGAUGGGCGGAAGCCUGAUCCAGACAUGCCCCGUGUGUUAAGAAGCCUUUUUGGGUGUAAAUCACUUUAAGCGAGGAGGAGGCUACCUAGAUUAAUACUCUGGGAUAGUGGACGUUACUCGCAGAAUAAGCACCGGCUAACACUGUGCCUGCCGCUGCGGUAA